rnacentral:rRNA from 1 species
UUCGGGAGCCUAGUAGAGUGGUAAACGGGUGAGUAACGCGUGGGUAACGUACCCUGAUCCUGGGAAUAACCCUCGGAAACGAGGGCUAAUACCGAAUGUGGCGAACGACCGGUUGGUCGCUCGCUAAAGGUGGCCUCUUCUAUGCUGCCGGGUUGGGAUCGGCCCGCGUCCCAUUAGCUAGUUGGUGAGGUAACGGCUCACCAAGGCCACGAUGGGUAGCCGGCCUGAGAGGGUGUACGGCCACACUGGCACUGAGACAAGGGCCAGUCCCCUAUGGGAGGCGCAGGCGGGAAUAGUUCACAAUGGGCGAAAGCCUGAUGACGCGACGCCGCGUGAGCGAAGAAGACCUUCGGGUUGUAAAGCUCUGUCAGGAGGGAAGAAGGCUCUACGGGUCAAUAGCCCGUGGGAUUGACGGUACCUCCAGAGGAAGCCCCGGCUAAAUACGUGCCAGCAGCCGCGGUAAUACGUAUGGGGCAAGCGUUGUCCGGAUUUACUGGGCGUAAAGGGCGCGUAGGCGGUUUGUUAAGUCGAAGGUGAAAUCCUCGGGCUCAACUCGAGAAUUGCCUUCGAUACUGGCAAACUAGAGUGGCGGAGAGGAAAGCGGAACUCUUGGUGUAACGGUGGAAUGUGUAGAUCUCAAGAGGAACACCGGUGGCGAAGGCGGCUUUCUGGACGCACACUGACGCUCAGGCGCGAAAGCGUGGGUAGCAAACAGGAUUAGAUACCCUGGUAGUCCACGCCAUAAACGAUGGGUACUAGGGUGUCGAGGGGUAUCGACCCCUCCGGUGCCGCAGUUAACGCACUAAGUACCCCGCCUGGGGAUUAUGGUCGCAAGGCUGAAACUCAAA